UACAGAGGUCUCAAGCGUUGUUCGGAUUCAUUGGGCGUAAAGGGUGCGUAGGUGGCGCGUUAAGUCAGGUGUGAAAUUUCGGAGCUUAACUCCGAAACUGCAUUUUGAUACUGGCGUGCUUGAGGACUGGAGAGGAGACUGGAAUUCAUGGUGUAGCAGUGAAAUGCGUAGAGAUCAUGAGGAAGACCAGUGGCGAAGGCGGGUCUCUGGACAGUUCCUGACACUGAGGCACGAAGGCCAGGGGAGCAAACGGG
rnacentral:rRNA from 1 species